GGGCCCGCCAGACAACCCUCUAUAUGUAAAUAAUUGACCUCGGAUCAGGUAGGGAUACCCGCUGAACUUAAGCAUAUCAAUAAGCGGAGGAAAAGAAACCAACAGGGAUUGCCUCAGUAACGGCGAGUGACGG
rnacentral:rRNA from 1 species